CCUACGGGUGGCUGCAGUGGGGAAUAUUGGACAAUGGGCGAAAGCCUGAUCCAGCCAUGCCGCGUGUGUGAAGAAGGCCUUCGGGUUGUAAAGCACUUUCAGUGGGGAAGAAAGCCUUGGGGCUAAUACCCUCGAGGAAGGACAUCACCCACAGAAGAAGCACCGGCUAACUCCGUGCCAGCAGCCGCGGUAAUACGGAGGGUGCGAGCGUUAAUCGGAAUUACUGGGCGUAAAGCGCGCGUAGGCGGUCUGAUAAGCCGGUUGUGAAAGCCCCGGGCUCAACCUGGGAACGGCAUCCGGAACUGUCAGGCUAGAGUGCAGGAGAGGAAGGUAGAAUUCCCGGUGUAGCGGUGAAAUGCGUAGAGAUCGGGAGGAAUACCAGUGGCGAAGGCGGCCUUCUGGACUGACACUGACGCUGAGGUGCGAAAGCGUGGGUAGCAAACAGGAUUAGAUACCCCAUGUAGUC
rnacentral:rRNA from 1 species